rnacentral:rRNA from 1 species
UACGAAGGGGGCUAGCGUUGUUCGGAAUUACUGGGCGUAAAGCGCGCGCAGGCGGUCCUUUAAGUCAGGGGUGAAAGCCCAGAGCUCAACUCUGGAACUGCCUUUGAAACUAGAGGACUUGGGUACGGGAGAGGUGAGUGGAAUUCCGAGUGUAGAGGUGAAAUUUGUAGAUAUUCGGAAGAACACCAGUGGCGAAGGCGGCUCACUGGCCCGUUACCGACGCUCAGGCGCGACAGCGUGGGGAGCAAACAGG